CCCCAAAGAGCUCAGUUGGGAGAGCGUUAAACUGGAGGUCUAAAGGUCCCUGGUUUGAUCCCGGGUUUCGGCA